GUUAACUUCAAAGAGUACUGUCUGAUGGAUGAUCAAAUACGAAGGUACACAAACAGCUUAGACUACCUUUAUUUGUGUAUCAAAGGAAGUGGUUUAACUAGAGCUGCGGUUAAGGAUUUUGAUGGAGUUUUUGAGAAAAUGCACUUGGCUAUCUCACUUAGUCGAAACGAGGC